CCUACGUGUGGCAGCAGUGGGGAAUAUUGGGCAAUGGGCGCAAGCCUGACCCAGCAACGCCGCGUGAAGGAAGAAGGCUUUCGGGUUGUAAACUUCUUUUGUCAGGGAAGAGUAGAAGACGGUACCUGACGAAUAAGCCACGGCUAACUACGUGCCAGCAGCCGCGGUAAUGCGUAGGUGGCAAGCUUUGUCCGGAUUUACUGGGUGUAAAGGCCGUGUAGCCGGGUUGACAAGUCAGAUGUGAAAUCCUGCGGCUUAACCGCAGAACUGCAUUUGAAACUGUGGAUCGUGAGUACUGGAGAGGCAGAUGGAAUUCCUAGUGUAGCGGUGAAAUGCGUAGAUAUUAGGAGGAACACCAGUGGCGAAGGCGGUCUGCUGGACAGCAACUGACGGUGAGGCGCGAAAGCGUGGGGAGCAAACAGGAUUAGAUACCCCAGUUC
rnacentral:rRNA from 1 species